GGCAAGACAAAUUAUUUUUCACAUUGUUCAUUAGGAGACUCACUAACAGUAAGUAAAGAUGUUAUCAAAUCCAAAACUUCAGCUAGAAACUUAACACUUCAGGUAUUCAGAAUGCAUCUGACUGAUCUGGUAACCUUUAAACCCUCAAAUUCCUAAACAGAUAAUCCUCUGAGGAGCUGAGCACUCUCAGUUCGCACUGAGCUCAGAGAGCUGGAAGAGCACAGUAUCUCCCAGUAUUGGCCCCUCAUUUGUUACACGUAAGAGAACACAACCCCCACAGAAGGUUAUUUAUGGAAGCCAAAAAAACAAACAAAAAAAACCCCACAACCCAACCAGUGCAUAUUGCAAGAGGGUUGUCAGCACUGGAAACAAGGACACAGCACCCUUUGAACAGAUCCUGCUUACAAUUAAUCCGGGUAUAAACUCGACAUUUUUCAAAACAGGACAACAGAAAUGAACACAGUAUUACCUUGGAAAGCCCUGCUUUCUCUUUGGCAAGCUUCUGUUUCUUCCUUCCUGUAGAUAAAAAUAUCAUAGGUUUAAUUUAUAAUUAUAAAAUAAUCUUUUGUUUUUAUUUUAAAACAGUGAAUGGGCCAAAAUUAUUUUCAAAAUAAGGAACUGAUAAUUACAUGUACUAAACACUCAUGGAUGAAGGAUGCAACCCAUGCCCACAGCAGCAUAUCAAUGAACCUACUACACAGGUGGCAACUGAAAAAUCCUUUAGCAAAGGAAAUUGCUACAUUUUUAGGAUUAAUUAUAUUCUGUGCCAUUCUUUCUCUUUGGGGACCAUCAUGUCUUAACAGCCAUCCAUCUCCUACCCCAAUCAGAGGCAUUAAGGAAAGCACUGGGCAUACAGUCUCAGGAAGGAUGGGUUCUUUUCCCUCUGACUGUGGUAUGUACUACAGAAACUGUACUGUUGGUAACUCCUGUUCCAUGCAUGCCUGGCCAAAGAAGAGAAGGGAGCAAAGAAUGAGUAGCACAGGAUUAUUACAUUAGGGGCUCAGGAGUCCUUUACAUAUGCCUUUGCCUUCAUGAGCAGCAGAACAGUUUGGUCUUCAAAUCAAGUCAGCCUAACGUUGAGUCAAGUUAUCUCAGUGAACAGCCAUUUAAAUAGCUUUUUCGGCACUCUGCAUCUCAGGUAGCUUAUGGGCUGAAGAGGGCCCACUGGAGAAAAAUCACUAGCCACAAGCCCUCUCUAACACAUAAGAGUUAAGGGUAGGCUCAAGUGAGCAGAAGACAACAAAAUCCCAAAAUAAUGUUAAAGCAAACAGAGUCUGAGCAACUAAAAAAUGGUUGGGAAAGAAAUUACAUUUACAGGAUCAUCAGGUAGCAUAGGAAUACAGAAGUCGAUUUAGGGCUUGUCUGCACUAGAAAGUUGUACCACUAUACCAGUAUGCAGUAUACCAGUAUGGCACAGACAGUUCAAAAUAGCACAACUCCUGUUGUGGUCAAUGCAGUUAGGGGUAUAAAUGUGCUUUAUAUUAGUAUAGCAAUUCCUUGUUGGAAGAAGAAGAACUUUCAUUGCGUUCCCACCCUUAACUGAAACAGUUAUGCUGAAAAAAGUUUUUACAAGUGGAGACCAGGCCUUAAUAAGUGUAUUAGAUCACUGGAAAGUGAACAAUUAGGAGUUGACAAAAAAUUACUGAUCAUAUGGGACAUUAGAAUACAUGUAAGCAAUUCCUCUAAUGGCCAAAAGGAUGUUUGGAACGGUAGAUGAUCCACACUAUGAAAACAUCUGCAAACCCUUGCACCAGUUGACAAUUUAAUAUAUGAAAAACUGGAGAUCUACAAUUAACAUUGUUCAUGGAAGACAUUUAUAAAUUUCAACUUCUAUCAAAAUGACACCUGCAAUACUAUCCUGAUCCCUAAAUUUCCAGAACACAUUUUAGACUACUAUGCAAUAUUGCAGAUGGAGAAAUACAAGUAGAAAAGAUAUUUGCAAUACUUAACUGCAGUGCAUUAUAAAGAACAUUUUGUCUCUAAAUCUACUACUCAAAACAAUUUAUGCUUGAGAAAUUAGUGUUCUCUCUCAGUUAACCCUCAGUUUCCUUGAUUUGCAUAUGCAAGUUUAAGUAGUGUUAGCCUGAGACUUGAUUUACAAGGAAAGCAAUUUUAAAAGGCAAAUGUAAAAGAAUCAAGAAAAACAUUUAACAUAUCUCUACCCUCCACGAAAAUACAUGCAGCAGCUGAAGUGCAUUCAGCAUGAGUACAGCAGCUACUACAAAACAACUAUUUCCAGGGCUAAUCACUUUGUAAGUUCAGCAUUCAGAGAUCUGCUCUUAAAGGAAAAAAAACUUUGGUUUUAGAAUCUCCUGUCAGAACAGGAAAACAUCUACAUUUUUAAAUGUCUGUUCAUGAUUAAUCAUAAGUAGGGGAGAUGCAUUUUAUUCUAAGCCUGGAGAAGAACAGUCUUUAAAAAAGGAGUAUGGAUAAGAUGCAAAAGGUAACUUUAGGUUGUUAUUGCCUAAUUAUGCCAUUUUAAAAAAAUAAGAUUACAUUCUGAGCCUAUUCUUGGGAUGCAGAGAUAUUUUCCAGUACUUACUGCACAAAUUAUAAUAUACAAGUAGUCCUCAUAUAAAAAGCCACUGGGACCUAGAAUUGUUCAGGUCAGUUCCAAAAGUUAAUGGCAUCAUUUCUUCUAAAAGAUUUUGCUUCAAGUUGAUAAAAAAAAAGCAAGCAUCAGAUAGCCAAAGCAAUGUUUUUAAAUACAUUACACACACUCUUGCAGAGGCACUUUGAGGCAUCUGACAGUUUCAGAGCCACAACCUAGAAUGCUCACAGAUCUACAGCAUAAAUUCACUGUUUACAACAAUUAUAGAGAACUCUAACAAAUGAUUCUAGAGAAUAUUUGUAAAUUCCUUCCACACCUGUUUGCAGCAGCAAUCUUAAAUUAUUCUUGGAGCAGCAGACAGGAGUAUGACUUCAGGUGUGAUAGCAAGGAGCAAAGUAAUUAGAAAAUUAGGCCUUGGAAAAAACCAAGAACUCUCCCAUGCAAACCUAAAUAGAUAUGAAAGUUUCCAUCCAUUCUAAAAAACCAAAAUUAUAUUAUUUACUAUAUGAAGUUAAGGUUUAUAAGAGGGCUUUGGGUUAACAUAGAAAUCAAAAUGCUCAUCUUGACUGUCUACUUUCAUACAGAGACAAGGUGCGGGAAGUAAUAUCUUUUAUUGGACUGCCUUCUGCUGGUAAGAGAGACAAGCUUUACACAGCGCUCUUCAAGUGUGGGAAAUGUACUCAGAGUCACAGCUAAAUACAAGGUAGAAU